UGGCGGAUGGUGUAACGGUAGCACUACAGACUCUGGAUCUGUUAGUCUAGGUUCAAAUCCUAGUCCGCCAACCA
rnacentral:tRNA from 1 species